GACUCCCCCUCCUCUCCAUCCCUCCACCCCCGCCGGGCCCCGCGCGGCGCCUCUCGCUCCCCGUCCUCAGGGCGGCCUCCCCCGCUUCUCCGCGGCCUCCCCGUUUGCCAGACGGCGGCUGCAGGCGGCCCGCGGUGAGGGAGGGGAGCGCCCCGGUCUCGGGGCACCGGGGGCGCCUCAGGCCGCGGGGAGAGCCCAGGAUGGCACGGGGCGAACGGGUUUUCCUCAGAAUUUUCUGGCAGAUCGGUAAACUGUGCAAAUAGAGCGCAGGUCGGAGCGUGUCGGGGGGCUGAUGGGCGGCCGGCGGGGCCCCCCGGCACAUCUGAGGCACCUCCGCUUCAUCCCCGUGGGGUCUGAGCCCUCAGAAGUUCUUCGUCUCUCGAUGACCAAAGAGAGAGAUUUCAGGCUGUUCCCUGUUUAUAAUCGCCGUGGUACUCUCAGGAUCGCACUCCUUACCGGUGUGAACAAUAGCUUAGUGCGGGUUACACCAAAACACCCGGGAGCUGCACCUUCACCCGGCGUGUCCGGCCCGGGGAUCGUAAGCCAAAGACGUGGGACAGAUGGUAAAAGCAUCUUAAAAGCAAACGUGCCCCAGCCAGGAAAUGAUGCGGUAAGGAAAGGAAAUUAGCGUCUGGAAAACAUAAACAAACAGCCGCAUCUAAAAAUAGACCUAAUCAGCUUUGAGAUCGUGUUAAAAUGUAGUGAUAAUUGUGCGGUGGGACUGAGAGGCGAAGUGAAGGCUGCCGUGGUGCUUUCGCUUACCUGGAAGUCUGGUGUGUCAGCAGGGAGUUUUACAGAGUUUUUAAUGCAUGUGUUGGGCACAGUUGCAGUAUCAGUGACUAUAAUGCUUAUUACUGUUGUGUAUUAUCAACACUAAGCCUAAACAGUGUUUGUUUGGGAUUUAUUGCUCUGCUGUAAGAGCAGAUAAUAUUGACAGAGAUCAGAGAGCCGUUCAACACUGUGCACUUCAUAUGUCACCCUUCUGCUUGGUUGCCCUCUCUCCUUUCUCAUCUUUCCCCUUCCCAGCCCACUUUGCCUUCCCCCAAGAGGAUGGACAUCUGCCCAUACUUGUAAUGGUUCCUUUUUUCCUUUUAAUUCCAGUUAUGGGGACAGGGGGAGAAUUACAAGGAGUAAUUAAUCAAAAUCUUGUUAAACAAGCCUUAUCCAUCACAGCAUUCAAUGAAUUAUUGUAAAACAUUACAGAAUUAUUCUCUUUUCAUGAUUGUUAUAGACUGUCCCUUGACGGCUCAAUAAAGCAUCCAUCCAACCCAAUUUAAAUGCAGUUUAAUGUUUUGUGUGACACCCAGGGCUGUGGUCUUGCAGGCAGUUAAGCACAUACUUAAUUUCCAGCCUGUUAGCAGUAAAAGUAUUUCCCAGAUUGUUAGUAAUUAAAUCGAUGCCUGGGUGUUAACGCUUAAGGUCGUGGCCUAAAUUUGUGAUAUAAUUAUGGAGAUAAAUGUGGAUUUUGGUAGGUUCCCAGUGUAUGUCAGCAACAAUGGGAAGACAAGACCCUGAACAAAGAAUACUGAUGAAUGCCCAAGGGGUGUUCUUAAUUGCCACAUACAUGUCAAAAGAUGGGAGAUGGCUUUGAAUGCCUGUUACUCCAGCAACCUGAACAAAGCUGUUUCAUGUCUUGGAAAAAAACACAGUUCCAUCCAUGUCCUGAAAUAUUCCCUUCAGCACAAAACCUUCGGCGCUGGUUCCUGUGCCCGGCGCUGGGCCGGGUAACACGUGGCACUGUGUUGGCAGCUCUGCAGUGGGACUGUUAAGCAGGCAUUAAGUUUUCAUUACCUUGGCUGGGUUCCACCGUGCACAGUUUUAGUCUCCCCGCGUCAAGUUUGGGUUUGAUCUUUGCGUUGUGAUCGACAGCGUUUGCCUCGCGCCUUGUGCCGUGUCCUGCGCUCCAGAAACGUUCAUGCACACAAACACCACCCCUGGGGACACAGCAAACAGCCCUUGGGCAGCUCUUGGGGCAGUGUCUCACUGCAGAUUGGUGGCUGAGGUGGCAUCAGUGACAGGUACUUUCCUUGUUGACUUUUUUCCCUUGAUUGAAGCUGUGAGAUUCUCCUGAUGAAGGACAUCUACUAAUCAUUAACUGUUGUGUCCUGUCAGGAUUUGGGCUCUGCUGGAAGGAAAAUGCAACAGCUGCAUUGCUGCUCCUGUGCUACACCUUUGUGUGAAUGACUCUGGAAAGGAUCUGCAGAAAGGACAGUGCAAUGGCUUUCUAGUAAUGCAGAUUUUCAUCCAGCUUGCCUGUUUGUCCUUAUUUUCUCAUAAAUUCUGGUAAAGUUGAAUGGGAUGAUAGCAAAGGAGAAAGGCUAAAUAACUUCUUUGAAAGCUAAGUGGCAUCAGGUGAUAGAGGAGGAAAAAACAAAGAUCAAGGGGGCAAAAAAAGUAGAAAAAUAGGAAUUAAAAGUAGCAGCCUGACUUGUCAUUAAAACCAGAAUCAGUUUUUUGGAAAUUUUGAGUUAUAUUUUUGGAGGUGGGAAGGGAAAAAGCCGAAACAGCUGGCCUGGGGCUAGAAGGGGACUGAAGCUGGUGUGUUUUGGCUUCAGAGUACCUUACAUUAAUCCUUGGAUGUGUUUGAGAAAUCUGGACGUUUACAGCUUUUGCUCGAAAAAAUUAGCAAUGGUUGAAAAGAAAGAAUGAAGAAAACCAGUACUUCUAUUUUUAUAGGAUAUGAACCAGACUGAAAAACAUCUGCUAAUCUUUUUCUGUAAAGAAAAGUUAAUGUUUUGUGGCCAGCACACAGCCGUGGUAAUCCAGAAGAACUGGUUUCUCCACAUGGCUCUGCCACAGUUUCUUUUAAGAGACCUGGGGCAGUCCUUGUACUGGUCAUCAGUGCAGGAGUCCAGCAGUUUUGGGUUUAUUAGUCACUGAAGAAAACACAGAUGGAGUCCUUAGAGCAAGUCCUAAGAUCCUGAUGUGUUUGUUUCCCCCCUGCCCACUCCCACCCAGCACUCCAGUCAUGCCAGUUCUGUGCUGCUUCUCUGUCCUGCUGCGCCUUGGUUUAUUUUACACAAAGUAUAAAUGUCUCAGCAGAAUGGAUGAGCAGCACCCACUCCCCUGCCCAGAACAUCCAGUCUAAAGUCCUGACAGUCAGCAGGGAAGGGGAAAAGAUAAUCCUGCAGUUCAGCCCAAGCUGUGAUGUGCUCAGCCCAUCUCCAGAGAAGAGAACCCUGUUGCAGCUGCAGUGUCCCUGCAGUAUGAGGAGAGAGAGGUGUGUGGAAUGGAACCUGGGUUGGCACACUGUCGUUUUUGAUGUUGCCUUUCAUCUUGAAAAACAGGCUGCACAUGAUAAAUGUGCUUCAGAUUUCUUCUUUUCCUUAUCUGAAAACUGUAUAAACUAUUAGGCUUGAGCACUCUGCUGUGAGGGAUGGUGUUCUGAAAAUCUAAGAGCAAAGAAAUAAGCUAGAUAUUCAUUUUAUUGAAAUAAAAGAAUUUUGAUGACCCCUUUAAAACAGAGGAGCAUAAAUCCUUGUAAUGCAUUUGUCUGCACAUGAAAUAACUUAUCUUGUUAGUGACACUCAUUAUUUACUCUCUUCUGAUUUUCCAGAAACCUUGUUUACAUUACAGACCUGUGGAAGGAAAUUAUCUUGUCUUUGGUCAUAGCUGUCUUCUCACAACUGUGAUGCAAAGGGGGAAUAAAAUGAGUGAAAUUUCCAAACCAGAAA